UACGGAGGGUGCAAGCGUUAUCCGGAUUCACUGGGUUUAAAGGGUGCGUAGGUGGGCAGGUAAGUCAGUGGUGAAAUCUCCGGGCUUAACCCGGAAACUGCCAUUGAUACUAUCUGUCUUGAAUACCGUGGAGGUGAGCGGAAUAUGUCAUGUAGCGGUGAAAUGCUUAGAUAUGACGCAGAACACCAAUUGCGAAGGCAGCUUGCUACACUACUAUUGACACUGAGGCACGAAAGCGUGGGGAUCAAACAGG
rnacentral:rRNA from 1 species